rnacentral:lncRNA from 1 species
GUUAGCAUAAAUCAUGAAUAAAGGGAUUUUAAAUUGAAAACAAGGAACAAAAUGAUCAAACACUGAAAAAAUAUAGCAGAUCUAAGACUCAAAAGCAAGCAAAAAGUUAAAACCCAGUAAACACAAUAAAACAAUGAGAAAACUGAAGAAAAAAAGUUUUUUUUUCAUGUAUACCUGUUUGAAGCAGAGAUAAAAAGCUUAGAAAUUUGAUUUGCAAAGGAAUCAAAAAAUCAGAUCAAGUAAGGCCAAAAGGCAACGAAGAUAUUUUUCUUUUCGUCUCCUGCGUUUCAAACAUAACAAGCUCAGCUGUAAAAAAGGUGCAAGAACAGAGUGUAUUAUUACAAAUAAUCAUAAGGGUACUAAAUGAUAAUUUUUGUACCAAAUUAAAUAUUACUUAAUUCACGGCAGAGAAGGGAGAGAGAGGCUGUGGAGUGGCCUUUGGGGUCUCAUCAGCCAUGGGAGUGCAGAGUGUUUGUUGGAGAGUAGCAACUGAGAAAAUAUUGUCGGCCAUGGGAAAUUAGGGAUUUCACGGGGGGAAAUUUGGGG